GGGGCUCCUCGGACUCUC
rnacentral:miRNA from 1 species